ACGUGCUCGCUAGAAAAAUGUGAAGCGAGAAGUGUGGCUCGCGUCAACUUUCCACGGGUCGCGGGUGGAGGCAGAGGCUCCGGGGUCUCCCAGGCCGGGCGCGACGGCAGUCAGACCCAGACGAGGGGUGCAGACAAGCUUCUGGUUGUAUUAUGCAGUCACGAGCCAAGUCAGGGAGUUUUCAACGGCCCCGUUCACCGGGCGGGGCGCCUGUGGCCCCGGGAGUUGAGUGGCAGAGGCCGGACUCCAAGUCCUCCUUACUGCGCCGUCCACCUGAAACCUCCCAGUGGCCCUCGAGGAGGCGAGAGCGGGAUUCGAACCGGGCCCGACUCCCGGGGCCACGGUCCCAGAGUGCCGCGGGACCGCCGCUCCGUCUCCCCUCAGGGGUGCGACCAACGUUCACAACGGAUUCCCCCGCCGCUGGGCCUGAGGGGCCGGGAGUCCCUCAGGGAAGGUCCCGGCAACGCUCACCUGCGAACAGACGCCAGGGCGACAAACGCUCCUCCUUCUCUCUCUCACUCUCUCCACACGCGGCUCAAGCACGCCGGAAGCCGACUUCCGCUUCUGGGCGGCGAAUCCCCAGCUAAGUAUUCCUCUCUUCCCGCCCCACGACCAACCCAGCCAAUCACGUCGCAGAGAAUCUGCAUCCGCCCUGCCAGACGCCGGCCUGCCAAUCACCACGAGAGCCAGCGCCGCCCUUCCCGCCCUCUUAAGCGGGCGCCGCGCGCCACCGCUAGGCGGUUGGCGGAGCUGUCCUCCGCCGGGCUGCGUCCCCCGGAAGGGCGGGGCGAAGCGCGCACCACGCCGGUGCGGGAACCUUCGGGAUUGGCCAAGAGGGGACUCGCGCUCUGCCUCCGCCUACCCCCGCCCCCAGACAUCCGAGUCGGAGACGCUGGGGAUUGGUUCCCGCUGGACACCCAAAAAAGCCGAGAAAUGGUUCCGCCUCCCUCGAGCAUCCCGGAGAGGGAGCCCCACGGAUUGGCCCGAGGAGUCUCGGCGCGCGCCGACCCGCGCUCCACGAUUGGCUGA
rnacentral:lncRNA from 1 species